rnacentral:rRNA from 1 species
CGCGUAGGCGGCCGAUCAAGUCAGGCGUGAAAGCCCCGGGCUCAACCUGGGAAUGGCGCUUGGGACUGGUUGGCUUGAGUUCGGGAGAGGGGAGUGGAAUUCCCAGUGUAGAGGUGAAAUUCGUAGAUAUUGGGAAGAACACCGGUGGCGAAGGCGGCUCUCUGGACCGAGACUGACGCUGAGGCGCGAAAGCGUGGGGAGCAAACA